rnacentral:misc_RNA from 1 species
UGUUUACGCUUCACAUGACCAAACUCAAUUAUUCUAACAAUAAACUGAAUUUAUAAAGAUAAGAACUUUAUAGUAAUCAAAACCCGAUAGUUGAAUAUAAAAUAAAAUAAAAUAAAAAGGCUAAGAAAAGUUAAUAUUCCUUUCAUGUUAAAAAAGUAAAAGAGAAAUUCAAUAAUAUAUACAAAAGAAAUAAAAUUUGAGUAAAUUUAAAAAUUUAGUUAAUUAAAAGGAAAUGUUGCAGUAUAUAAAAAAAUCAAAAUUAAAUCUUGAAGAAAGAAGAAUAUUCAAAUUGGGAGCUAUGCACAUAAAACAAAAACAUUAUGGGGGAAGGGGAAAAAAAUUAUGGAGUGUGGUGUGGAAUGUAAAAAGGGGAAGGAAGAGAGCUAAAUUUAAUAAUUAGCCUAACAUAUAUGCCUCCCUAGCUAUAAUGUGAUUCUGUCACUGAUUGGAUUCAACAACUUUUAUCUUUGACUUACAAUUGGAAAAAUAUAUAUAUAUAUAAUUUAAAUAAAAAGAUUAUAGUACUAUAAGGAAACUUAUGGAUUUCUUACAUAUAUUGCUGCCAUGACACCUUGGUUUUUUUAUAAGCAAGAACUUUAUUAAUAAAAUGCUAGGAAAAACUUAGCUUGUAACUCAUACUAAACCCAGACCAAUAGGUCUCCCCAAUACACCCACCUAAAGAGAAACGAGCUAAGUGAAAAAACCUAGCUAGAACGAUACAAACACCAAGACAAACAAUUAAAAUAGAAAGGAAAGCAAAGACUAGAAUCGCAAGCAUAAAACAAGCAAGAAACAGAAGCACUCAACCAGAUUUAACAAUAGCUUACUGCAAACCACACUAGGCCAACAACCGAACAUCCCAAGCCACAACGCAAAAUAGUGAUGACUCUCCGACACAAGGAGAAAAGAUUCCAACAGCAACUAGCACCAACCAAGAAACACAUGCUGCAGAAAGCAAGCAGUGAUUGAAAGAAAAUCAGAAUUGCAAAAAAUCAGAGGGUGGCAACCAGAUCUGAAUUACGGGCAAGUCCUUCCUUAGCCAACGAGUCAGCCACAGCAUUAGCCUCACGAAGAACAUGGGAAAUCACCACUGGCGGCAAGGCCAAUGGAUUCAGCAUCCUCUCUAUUUGUUCACCACUUUCCAAUCUAUUAGAAUUUCACUAUGCAUACUGUAAACUUGCGUUCCUUUCGUCAUCACUAUGUGGUAUGUCAGAUUCAUUGUCCUCUAGUUGAUAGUGGCCCUCCAAUUGAAUAAUUCUGGCUUGGACAUUAAUAUAUGAGAUGUGAGAAACUAAAGGCCAAUCCUCACAAUAUUUAUUUGCACAUCUUCUCCUCAAUAUGGGACAUCCAUAAAUAUGCAAUUUUCGUAAAGAGGUGAGGGAACGCAUCUCUUGAGGCAGAGAUGUUAAUCUUGGGCAGUCCGAAAUCUUGAGCUGCUUCAAUUUAGAGAGAGGAGGAACGAUUGAGGAAGAAGAAGAAGAAG